UAGAAAUACUUAGUGGCGGACGGGUGAGUAACGCGUGAGAAUCUACCUUCAGGACGGAGACAACAGUUGGAAACGACUGCUAACCCCCGAUGUACCGAAAGGGCAAAUAUUUAUAGCCUGAAGAAGGGCUCGCGUCCGAUUAGCUAGUUGGAGAGGUAAAAGCUCACCAAGGCGACGAUCGGUAGCUGGUCUGAGAGGACGAUCAGCCACACUGGGACUGAGACACGGCCCAG
rnacentral:rRNA from 1 species